AACCUCAUCGACCAGAAGGGAUUCCUUCCGGUCGAUGAGGUGUAACAACCUCAUCGACCAGAAGGGAUUCCUUCCAGUCAAUGAGGUG
rnacentral:miRNA from 1 species